AUUGAACGCUGGCGGAAUGCUUUACACAUGCCAGUCGAACGGCAGCACGGGGGCGGCCCUGGUGGCGAGUGGCGAACGGGUGAGUAAUACAUCGGAACGUGCCCGGUCGUGGGGGAUAACGUAGCGAAAGUUACGCUAAUACCGCAUACGAUCUGAGGAUGAAAGCGGGGGACCUUCGGGCCUCGCGCGAUCGGAGCGGCCGAUGUCAGAUUAGGUAGUUGGUGGGGUAAAGGCCUACCAAGCCGACGAUCUGUAGCUGGUCUGAGAGGACGACCAGCCACACUGGGACUGAGACACGGCCCAGACUCCUACGGGAGGCAGCAGUGGGGAAUUUUGGACAAUGGGCGCAAGCCUGAUCCAGCCAUUCCGCGUGCAGGACGAAGGCCUUCGGGUUGUAAACUGCUUUUGUACGGAACGAAAAGGCUCUGGCUAAUACCUGGGGCUCAUGACGGUACCGUAAGAAUAAGCACCGGCUAACUACGUG
rnacentral:rRNA from 1 species